CCAGGUGGGUCACCUGGGCUCUGCAUGUUUCUGGGCAGAGUUAACCAACUUUAGCAUAGAUGGCUAGGACCCACAACUGGCCAUAAUAUGAUACGGAUAACUGUAUAUUCCUGUUCCUGAUUUUAGCUUUUCCUUGAGUAAGUUUCUUGGUUCUAAACUAACCAGAGCAUGACAUUCAAUGGAAAUUCUCAAGAAUACAAUUCUGCUCAAGAUGAUCUCAUUUCAAAAUAUUAUCACCACUUGCAGAGAGUUGAUGGGUGGGAGAGAGUGGGGAGCUUGCUUUAUUAGAAACUAGACCUGACCCACCUUGAACUAUGACAAGUGAAGCCUGGCUGAGUGUCUGUCAAUUGGAGUCCAACCAAUCCCUGUGCUGCAGAGCCCCUAUCUGGCAGACACUGUCAGCCUCAUAGGACAUCUAAGAUGUGUCUCUUCCUACAACACAGAGGCCAGCUGCCUUACUUUCUGUCUUCUGUCUCAUAAAGCUAUUUUUGUUCUCAGCUGGUAGAACUCAGUGACUUUCAGUUUCCCUAAAAAUUCCACUCACACAAAAGAAUUUGUAAACUAGAUGGAUUUGCCUGAAGCUGUCCUGGAGGAGGGAAGAGGUUUUUAUCAUAUACCUUACACCAAAGAGCUUUGAAAGCUCUCCUGGAUAUUUCUGUUUUCCCAAGUUUUUGACUUCCUCUAACUUUAAAUUCACACCCUGCUGCCUCCACUCCACCCCAGCUACCCUUUCCCAGACCCCAGGCUCCUAUCUCUUCCUCGAUCCCAUCUUAUCUUAUACAUAACAGCUUAGCAGCCAUCUCUUUUUAGGUAAUUUGAACAUGUUCUUGGAGAGUUCAACCCCCAAAUCAAAAGAUGUCCUUUUAUCCCAUUAUAACCCCAAACUAUUUUGCUGAUGUUUUCUUCCAUUUCUGAGUCUUUGUGCUCACCAAUAUUCAGACCUAUGUUCUGAACAACAUCAUCUUUAUCUUUUCCCAGAAUCCUGCCCUUUGAGGCAAUCAAUAUCUCUGACAAUUGUUAAGGCUAUUUGGAGUGCAAUCUUGCACAAUAAUAAAAACAGCCACUAUGCAUUGAGCAUUCGCUGUGUGCUAGGCACUCUGCUAAUCACUUGUACUAUAUCAUGUUUUGUAAUCUGCAUAACAGCUGUAGGAAUGUAGCUAUUAUCACUCCACUCUGUAGCUGAAGGAGCUGGGGUCAUAUCGGUAAUAAGACACAGAGCCUACUGUGGCCUAAGCGUGCUGUUACUGGAAAGAUAAGAAUCAAAGGUACAUGCCCUUCUGUCCAGAAGAGUCCUCUCACCCCUAGGAGGCCAGGAAACAUCACUCCCUGCCCUGAUAUUCAGGGAACAGGAAAAAGGCAGGAAAGAGGCCUUUGCUCCUGGGUUCUAUGUAGUGAAGCAAAUUUCUUAUUUUUUGAGCCAGGUUGCUUUCUUUUUUAAUCAUAGACUAGGGGUACUGUGUGUUCCAUGAACAAUCAUCUUACUGACAUGUUAUUCUGAAGCUUGACUUCAUUCACCGUGACACAUGCUGGUUAUGAAAUACGCAACGGAAUAGAGUUGUAAUGAAGUGAGGCUGGGGAAGGAUUAAAUUAGAAUCUGAACUAAUGCCAGCUAAGAGACCCUACCUCCACUUUAUUAUUAUUAUUGUGUUUAAUAAACAAUCAUUCAUGCUCCGAGGAAAGGGAAACAAUCAGAAACCCAGCAGGGGAGCCAUAAAAUAAAUGUUUAAACCUUGAAUAAAAACAUGUUUGUUCAAA
rnacentral:lncRNA from 1 species